GAACGCAGUCUCCAGCUGUGUUUUCACAGAGACUGAGGCACGCGUAGCUGUGUCCACCGUGAAGAUGCCUGUGUUGUCUGUGCACGUAUCUUCAUUUGGAUGUCAUUUAUGCUACAUGAUGCACAUGAAUUAUGCUAAAAAUAUCAUUCUGAAAACAUAUCAGAGGCAAAUUGCCCCUUCGUGGUACGUACCCACGUUGCAGGGGGGACCCCUGCAGCCCGCGUUCUUCGUCCGUGCCUCAGAUGUGCGCCCAGAGGAACAACCGCACAGCCGGGUGUGCAAGCACCGCACGCCAGCUGCACUGCAGAGUCUGCCACCACAGGAACACCAGAUGUCGGUACCAUCACACGUAUCACACUGCCAAAAAUACAGUUUCUGAAACUGAAGAGUGAAAAGGAAUCCGGGCUUCAACCCAGGAGUCCAACUCCAUUUGCUCCCCAGUUUUCUUCUUACAGAAGCAGACAAAUCCUUGGUUUUGCCCGGCUGCUUUCUCCGUAGCACAUAACUCACGACAGAGGAAUCUCUCUCUGGCGCGGCACACGUUCAUAACUCCUUCCCUGGGCGGUCUCAGCAUGUGUUAAAGCAUAUUGUUUUCCAGUUUAAUCCUCUUAUCUUCCUUCAUGGUAAUCAGAUAUCAUAAUGAAAUGUUGUCUUCCCUAUGUUGUUAAUUAUUCAUGUCAUCAUUUUUCACUAGUAACUAAUGAAACAAAGACAGUACUAUUUAUCAUUUGCAAUAAAUAUAUAUCAAAAUCUGA